UAGGGAAUCUUCGGCAAUGGGGGGAACCCUGACCGAGCAACGCCGCGUGAGUGAAGAAGGUUUUCGGAUCGUAAAGCUCUGUUGUUAAGGAAGAACGAGUGUGAGAAUGGAAAGUUCAUACUGUGACGGUACUUAACCAGAAAGCCACGGCUAACUACGUGCCAGCAGCCGCGGUAAUACGUAGGUGGCAAGCGUUGUCCGGAUUUAUUGGGCGUAAAGCGAGCGCAGGCGGUCAAUUAAGUCUGAUGUGAAAGCCCCCGGCUCAACCGGGGAGGGUCAUUGGAAACUGUUUAACUUGAGUGCAGAAGGGGAGAGUGGAAUUCCAUGUGUAGAGGUGAAAUGCGUAGAUAUAUGGAGGAACACCGGUGGCGAAAGCGGCUCUCUGGUCUGUAACUGACGCUGAGGCUCGAAAGCGUGGGGAGCGAACAGG
rnacentral:rRNA from 1 species